rnacentral:rRNA from 1 species
UACGUAGGGUGCAAGCGUUGUCCGGAAUUAUUGGGCGUAAAGAGCUCGUAGGCGGUCUGCCACGUCCGCUGUGAAAACCUAGGGCUUAACCCUGGGCUUGCAGUAGAUACGGGCAGACUAGAGGUAGGUAGGGGAGAAUGGAAUUCCCGGUGUAGCGGUGAAAUGCGCAGAUAUCGGGAGGAACACCGGUGGCGAAGGCGGUUCUCUGGGCAUGUCCUGACGCUGAGGAGCGAAAGUGUGGGGAGCGAACAGG